rnacentral:rRNA from 1 species
AACGCGAAGAACCUUACCUGGGCUUGACAUGUGAGUGACCGGCGUGGAAACACGUCUUCCCUUCGGGGCACUUUCACAGGUGGUGCAUGGCUGUCGUCAGCUCGUGUCGUGAGAUGUUGGGUUAAGUCCCGCAACGAGCGCAACCCCCGUCGCAUGUUGCCAGCAUUCAGUUGGGGACUCAUGCGAGACUGCCGGUGACAAACCGGAGGAAGGUGGGGAUGACGUCAAGUCCUCAUGCCCCUUAUGUUCAGGGCUACACACGUGCUACAUUGGCGCAUACAGAGGGCUGCGAUACCGCGAGGUGGAGCGAAUCCCUUAAAGUGCGUCUCGGUUCGGAUUGCAGGCUGAAAUUCGCCUGCAUGAAGGCGGAGUUGCUAGUAAUCGCGGAUCAGCAUUGCCGCGGUGAAUACGUUCCCGGGCCUUGUA